UACGGAGGGUGCAAGCGUUUAUCCGGAUUUACUGGGUUUAAAGGGUGCGUAGGUGGGUCUGUAAGUCAGUGGUGAAAUCUCCGGGCUUAACCCGGAAACUGCCAUUGAUACUAUAGGUCUUGAAUUAUCUGGAGGUAAGCGGAAUAUGUCAUGUAGCGGUGAAAUGCUUAGAUAUGACAUAGAACACCAAUUGCGAAGGCAGCUUACUACGGAUACAUUGACACUGAGGCACGAAAGCGUGGGGAUCAAACAGGAUUAGAACCGGUACG
rnacentral:rRNA from 1 species